AUACGUAGGGAGCGAGCGUUGUCCGGAAUGAUUGGGCGUAAAGGGCGCGUAGGCGGCCCGGUAAGUCUGGAGUGAAAGUCCUGCUUUCAAGGUGGGAAUUGCUUUGGAUACUGCCGCGCUUGAGUGCAGGAGAGGUUAUCGGAAUUCCCGGUGUAGCUGUGAAAUGCGUAGAGAUCGGGAGGAACACCAGUGGCGAAGGCGGGUAACUGGACUGCAACUGACGCUGAGGCGCGAAAGUGUGGGGGGCAAACAGGAUUAGAUACCCUGGUAGUCCACACUGUAAACGAUGAAUGCUAGGUGUAAGAGGUAUCGACCCCUUUUGUGCCGGAGUCAACACAAUAAGCAUUCCGCCUGGGGAGUACGGCCGCAAGGUUGAAACUUAAAGGAAUUGACGGGG
rnacentral:rRNA from 1 species